rnacentral:rRNA from 1 species
UAACACGUGGGUAACCUGCCUGUAAGACUGGGAUAACUCCGGGAAACCGGGGCUAAUACCGGAUGGUUGUUUGAACCGCAUGGUUCAAACAUAAAAGGUGGCUUCGGCUACCACUUACAGAUGGACCCGCGGCGCAUUAGCUACUUGGUGAGGUAACGGCUCACCAAGGCAACGAUGCGUAGCCGACCUGAGAGGGUGAUCGGCCACACUGGGACUGAGACACGGUCCAGACUCCUACGGGAGGCAGCAGUAGGGAAUCUUCCGCAAUGGACGAAAGUCUGACGGACCAACGCCGCGUGAGUGAUGAAUGUUUUCGGAUCGUAAAGCUCUGUUGUUAGGGAAGAACAAGUACCGUUCGAAUAGGGCGGUAC